rnacentral:lncRNA from 1 species
UUUGUUUGCAAUAUGGAUAGCUGAUAUUAUCUACAAAAUUAACAAAUACAAUUAAAUGAAGAGUAGAAGCUCGGAAAAUCUAGUGCUGGAAAACCCAUCGGAAAGCAUGUGCGUGUGCUUUUCACUAAAGUUCUUAACAUUUUUUUUCUGCGUUGCUUUUUACAGAGCUUCUUAGCAGGAUGACUGAGAGGCAAAUGGACGAAUAUGAAGCAUUUAGUGAUGGAUGCAGGUUUGCCGACAUAAAAGCCUUUUUUGUUUUGUGCUGUGGGCAAGACAAAUAAGUACGCAUGAUAUUGAUGGAGACUCAUAAGAUGAGAAGAACAGGGUCGAUCCUUUUGCCUUGUCCAUGGAAACACCCAUGAGUUUCACCUGAUCACCUGUGAAAAACGUCAUACUUCGCCUGAUCAGCAAGUGGCAGGCAACAACUUUAACAUUCAUUUGUUGAUACAGUAAUUCUAUAUUCAGAAGUAGAAACAUAAGCUUAUGUAGUUGCCGAUCAAGUAUAGAGUAAUUCCAAAUUCAGAAGUAGAAAUCCACAAAAUUGGUUGUGUUAAAAUAAUUCUUGUAAGCAAACAAAAAAUGGCAGUUUGUAGGCAAAAAUCUCACCUGCAGUUCCAUAUCCAAUUCCAAUAUAUGAGACUGAGUGCAAGUAUAUACCAAGAAAAAAAUCAAGAGUGAAAGCAGGUAUUUUUUACCAACCUAUAUAUGCAAGAAAUGCAUAUCGCUGAGUUUGUAUCUUCUAACCCUCUCUUCAUCUCUACUUGAAAACUUGUCAAAAAGAGAACAUAUGCCCAAAAUUCUCCUAGUUUGACUGACUGCAUAGGUCACGGUUAUUUGUGAGCACAUUGAGCAUUCUCCAACACUUGAUGGACCCC